CUUAGACCAGCCCCCUGAUAUAUGAAGGGCUUUAGUCUCCACAAUAGUUCUCUUUCUCUUAGUUCCUGCUCUUAUCUUCUGGACACUAAAGCAAGCACAAGUCCUGUACAAGUCAAGUCUGCUGCCACAUCUUAUCUGUUUAAUGGUGAAGAAUUGUGGCUGGAAGAAAUUGUCAUGAUGGCGCAGACCAGAUGGAGAAGAGAAGGGAACAAGGCUGAUUAGAGAAGAGGGUGUGGACACAGGAGGACUCGGAUUCUCGCCAUGGGGAGAAAUGCUAGUAGCCAAUGGGCCCCGUGGCACCGGACUGGUUGCGAAAUGAUAGCCUAUGGCAGCGCCGGCCCACCUUUAGGAGUUCCCUUGGAGUUGUAGUGCUGCAGCCCAUGACCUAACACUUUUUGGAAACUUUCUAACAAGGGACUAUGGAUCUGAAGUUCUUCCAGCUUAACCAAGCUACAAGUGUACUUCUUCAUAUCUUCAGUUUUCUCAUAUGAACUACACAAAGUUGGGAAGUCUUCCUCUCCAGUUAUACUCCGUUUCUGGAUGUUUCCAGUUUUCUUUCAGUUCUCUCCAGUUGCACAUUACUUCGUUCUUGACAAUUUUUUCCCCCUUGCAUUACACCAUCAAGGAAAGAGGGAGUGGCUUGUGGUUCGGUCCCUUACAUAACAGUUGGACUAUACCAUUAUGGACUACCAGUUAUGAACUAAAUAUUUUUUCUUUGAUAUUAUAUCUGUUAACCCUUUAUUUGCUUCUAUAAAAACAGUAAAGAAAGAUAAAGCAUAAUGUUUGUCUCCUGUCCAUAUUUUCUGUCACCAAGGAUAGGAAAAUCUCCAAUUUGCCCACAGUUGAGCCUUAUGCACUUGUGCGCACAUCUUUCCAAUGUUUGCCCACUUCCAGCAUGUCUGCACGGCUCUUUUCUCUGCCAUGCGCAUACACAUACACAUGGCGCUUUCUUUCCGUGUCAUGCAGGAUCCGCUCAGAUCUCCACCUCCGUGAGUCUAACAUAUUAUUUUUAACAAUGUAAAUGCACUGUAUCUUGUACUCCUUUCCUUGUACACUAUUGGGGAGAUUUAUCAAAAACUGUGCAGAGCAAGAGUGGUGCAGUUGCCCAUGGAAACCAAUCUGAUUGCUUCUUUCAUUUUUACAGAGACCUGUGAAAGAUAACAGAAGCAAUCUGAUUGGUUGCCACUCUUCCUUUACACAUGUUUUGAUAAAUCUCACCCUAUGUAUAUAUAUGUAUGUACCAUGAUGGACUGUACUCUCACAGUUUUUUGCACUGAUCGCUAAUUUUGACAUUGGUUCACAUUUGUUAUUGCUUG